rnacentral:rRNA from 1 species
ACCACGACUCUCGACAAUG